GCAGCCAAGCUGGUGAUGAAGAUCACAUGCACUGUGUCACAUCACAAAACAUAACUGGAAGGGAAGGCAGACUGAAUUCUGCAAGUGGACAAAACCCAUCUUCUCUCUGCUUCUCAAACGCUGAAAAGCUGAUGAUCCACUUCUUAAAGAGGUGGGGAUAAGGACUUAAAAUCACCACUUUUAAGACCAAAUGGAGCCCAGUUUCUGCUUUGCUUCAUGCUUCCCAGGUGUCCACAGGAAAAGUAUUGUAUCCCUGGCAUCCUGAGCAGCUGCUCCAGGGAGGGGUGGAUACAGUCAAGAUACAGUCUUUAGCCAUGCUGCCCUGUCACAGCAAUUUCUUCUAAGCUCCUGCAAAUUAUUCCAUUUGAGAACAUGGCACAGUGCAAAUGUGAAACAAAACAUGAAAAGAAAGGAGGUA